ACCUCGGAUCAGGUAGGGAUACCCGCUGAACUUAAGCAUAUCAAUAAGCGGAGAAA
rnacentral:rRNA from 1 species